rnacentral:rRNA from 1 species
GCCUGUUUAACAAAAACAUAGUUUAAAGAAAAAGAUUUUAGAUAAAUUCUGCUCAAUGAGUAAAUUAAAUAGCUGCAGUAAAUUAACUGUACUAAGGUAGCAUAAUAAGUUGCUUUAUAAUUAAAAGCUUGAAUGAAAGAAAUAAUGUGAAACAAGCUUUUUAAACUAAAGUAGUAAAAAUUAAUAUUUAAGUGAAAAAUCUUAAAUAAAAUCAAAAGACAAGAAGACCCUUUAGAACUUUACAAAUUAACUUAAUUUCAUUUGGUUAAUUUGUUAGAUUGGGGAGAUUUUUAAAUAAAUAAAUCUUUAGAUAUAAAAAAAUGAUUUAAAUCAAAUUAAAUUAUCCAAAUAUGAAAUAAAACAAGUUACCUAAGGGAUAACAGCGCAAAAUUUUUGAGAAGUUCUCAUUUACAAAAUAAAUUGCGACCUCGAUGUUGGAUUAAGAACAACUUAUAAAGAAAAAUUUAUAAGAGUUGGUCUGUUCGCCCAAUAAUCUU